rnacentral:tRNA from 1 species
AGCCGGGUAGCUCAGUUGGUGAGAGCACCGGAUUCAUAACCCGGGGGUCGGCAGUUCAAAUCUGCCUCUGGCUACCA